GAUAGCCAAUAUACACUCAUGAGAAGAAUAUGCAAGCUAAUAGACACUAGUGGCACAUGGAAUAAUUCAUCUGACCGCUGACUUGCCUGCCCUUAUUGAUCUAGAAGAGUUCUUGACGGGAUGAGAAUUACUUCAUUAGUUGGUCUGUAAGAAAUUCAGGCUUUGUCAUCUUGAAGAAUGGUGCAAGAUCCCGCAUCACACAGUUCAGGACAUGUAUGAAAACAUUCUGAGAAGGCUGCAUCCUCUCCUGGUCCAGCAUGGCUCCGGCAUGGCGUUCGACUUCACCAGCUUUCUAGCCGCCACCCUUCCCCUGGUCCUGUAUUCCAGUUUCCCAGCACAACUCAACACUUUUGUCUUGAACGCACCACUUACUAUCCAGUCACCAAUGACAUACAACUGAUCCACAUUUUCCAUCACUACUAGUGUAUAUCUGCUCCCUCUGCGCCCUGGCCCUUAUGCGUUAUUGUGUUUCUUGGUUUGUGUGUUGUUUAUAUGCUGUUUUGGCACUACCUUUAUUCAGGGCAUUGUCCUGUAGUUUCUUUUGUGUAAUCCUAUUUGUAUGAGAACAUUCUCCUUGUUAUCUGAACUUGCUGUUUGCGAUUGUUUGUGCGGCUACAUAAAUAAAACCCCUACAACCGUGCUCGUUCCUUUCCCCACACGACAGACAUGAACCAAACCUAGAGUAUUGUUGUUAGUAUGACAACCAAUGCAAUCUCAGCCAUGCUGUAUUGGUGCCGUGGAAAUCCUGGUCGAUUUUUCUCAACUCUACGUACCCACAAUCCACACACUAACCCUAACCCUAAGCCU